CCUGUCCCGUGUCCUGCUGUGUCCCCUUUCCUGUGUCCCUUUGUCCUGCUGUGUCCCCUUGUCCUGCUGUGUCCCCUUGUCCUGUGUCUCCUGUCCUGUGUCCUGUGUCCUGUUAUGUCCUGUGUCUCCUGUCCUGUGUCCUGUUGUGUCCUGUUGUGUCCUGUGUCUCCUGUCCUGGGUCCUGCUGUGUCCCCUUGUCCUGUGUCCUGCUGUGUCCUGUGUCCCCUGUCCCGUGUCCUGCUGUGUCCCCUUUCCUGUGUCCCUUUGUCCUGCUGUGUCCCCUUGUCCUGUGUCUCCUGUCCUGGGUCCUGUGGUCCUGUUGUGUCCUGUUGUGUCCUGUUGUGUCCUGUUGUGUCCUGUUGUGUCCUGUUGUGUCCUGUGUCUCCUGUCCUAGGUCCUGCUGUGUCCCCGUCCCAUGUCCUGCUGUGUCCCGUUGUGUCCUGCUGUGUCCCCUUUCCUGUGUCCCUUCAGCUACAUCCCGUGUCCUACAGCCCAUAUCCCGCUGUGUCCAUAUCCUGCUGUAUCCGUGUCCCGCUCUAUCCGUGUCCUGCAUCCCGCUGUAUCCCAUAUCCCGCUCCAUCCGUGUCCCGCAUCCCGCUCUAUCCGUGUCCUGUAUCCUGCUCUAUCCGUGUCCUGUAUCCCAUAUCCCUCUCUAUCCCAUAUCCCGCUGUACCCGUGUCCCGCAUCCCGCUCUAUCCGUGUCCUGUAUCCCGCUGUACCCGUGUCCCAUAUCCCGCUCUAUCCGUGUCCUGUAUCCCAUAUCCCGCUCUAUCCCAUAUCCUGCUCUAUCCGUGUCCUGUAUCCCAUAUCCUGCUCUAUCCCAUAUCCCUCUCUAUCCCAUAUCCCGCUCUAUCCGUGUCCUGUAUCCCAUAUCCCGCUGUACCCGUGUCCCAUAUCCCGCUCUAUCCGUGUCCUGUAUCCCAUAUCCCUCUCUAUCCCAUAUCCCGCUCUAUCCGUGUCCUGUAUCCCGCUGUACCCGUGUCCUAUAUCCCAUAUCCCGCUCUAUCCGUGUCCCGCAUCCCGCUGGCAGCCGGCUCAUCCCGGCUCGGGGUCCCGUGAGUUCGUCCUGCCGGG
rnacentral:lncRNA from 1 species